rnacentral:tRNA from 1 species
GGGUGCGUAGCUCAGUUGGUUAGAGCGCUACGUUGACAUCGUAGAGGUCCCCUGUUCAAAUCAGGGCGCACCCA